rnacentral:rRNA from 1 species
AUACGUAGGUGGCAAGCGUUGUCCGGAAUUAUUGGGCGUAAAGCGCGCGCAGGUGGUUCCUUAAGUCUGAUGUGAAAGCCCCCGGCUCAACCGGGGAGGGUCAUUGGAAACUGGGGAACUUGAGUGCAGAAGAGGAUAGUGGAAUUCCAAGUGUAGCGGUGAAACGCGUAGAGAUUUGGAGGAACACCAGUGGCGAAGGCGACUGUCUGGUCUGUAACUGACACUGAGGCGCGAAAGCGUGGGGAGCAAACAGGAUUAGAUACCCUGGUAGUCCACGCCGUAAACGAUGAGUGCUAAGUGUUGGGGGGUUUCCGCCCCUCAGUGUUGCAGCUAACGCAUUAAGCACUCCGCCUGGGGAGUACGGUCGCAAGACUGAAACUCAAAGGAAUUGACGGGG